GACGUAGGGCGCGAGCGUUGUCCGGAUUUAUUGGGCGUAAAGAGCUCGUAGGCGGCUUGUCGCGUCGAAUGUGAAAACUCGGGGCUCAACCCCGCGCUUGCAUUCGAUACGGGCAGGCUCGAGUUCGGUAGGGGAGACUGGAAUUCCUGGUGUAGCGGUGAAAUGCGCAGAUAUCAGGAGGAACACCGGUGGCGAAGGCAGAUCUCUGGGCCGUAACUGACGCUGAGGAGCGAAAGCAUGGGGAGCGAACAGG
rnacentral:rRNA from 1 species